ACACACACACACACACACACAGACGGCUGAAGGAGCGGAACGGCCAGCUCCACCAUACUGUCAAUAGCCAUUGAUAUUGUCCAAGUCUUGAGUAACAAGAAACUUGGGAACACAGCCAGCCUACUUAGAACGUCUGAAUAAAGCCCAGACGUGUUUCAACUGACUGGAUUCAAGGAUGGCUGAACAUAAGGCAGAGGUAGGCUAUCAAAUUAAUUGUGAACACAUUGUCAUAUUUAAAACGUGGUUUUACUAAUGAUUUACUGGCUGAAUUGCAUGGUGUUUAAGCAAGAAGAAAC